CCUACGGGUGGCAGCAGUCGAGAAUCAUUCACAAUGGGGGAAACCCUGAUGGUGCGACGCCGCGUGGGGGAAUGAAGGUCUUCGGAUUGUAAACUCCUGUCAUGUGGGAGCAAAUUAAAAAGAUAGUACCACAAGAGGAAGAGACGGCUAACGCGGUGCCAGUAGCCGCGGUAAUACAGAGGCCUCAAGCGUGGUUCGGAAGCACUGGGCUUAAAGGGUGCGUAGGCUGUUUCGUACGUCGGGUGUGAAAGGCGGGGGCUCAACCCGCGGACGGCAGAUGAUACUGGCGGACUAGAGUAAUGGAGGGGGAGGCGGAAUGUACGGUGUAGCAGUGAAAUGCAUAGAUAUCGAAAAGAACAC
rnacentral:rRNA from 1 species